ACCGAUCAAAACACUAAAAAGGAGCUGGCAGUGGAUGCAGGGUGUGCAGAUGGCUCAAGGAGAGUCUGCUCAGUGCUCGCAGGGCAGACCGCAUCACAUCAGAGCAUGGGAGAGUGUGACAGGAAAUAAAUUGGACCUUCAGUCAACCAUUUAGGAGUGGUAGGAGCUCCCCGGUGGAGGUUAUUCAAUUUGGUAAGGGAAAAAAGAAGAAAUGGAGGUGGACACGUUUCUUCCUGCCUCCCUAUUUUUAACCUCUUGGACUCUCACUCUGCUGGUCACAGAGGAGCUGAUGCUAUGAGAAGAGUCAUUUUGGUGGCUCUGGUCCACACAGAAGCAGGAAUUGCCCUCCAUUUAUAUGAGCUGCCAUUCUCCUGAAGGCUUUAACGAUGCUGGGUUUGAAGUGUCGCCAUUAACUCAUCAAGGAAAGUGCAGAGGGUCAAAUUCUUCCUUUUUCUGUUGUUCAUCAUAACUAUAGCCCUGGUUUACGUCACUUAUGCAUUCACUGAAUUGUGCCACUUGUGGGACAGGUUCUCCCUUGCAAUACAGUGUUAUUGGCAUUGGGAAGGGUGGGUGGCUGAGGAGGAGGAGCAAAGUCCUCCUGUUCUCCUGAGAUCCUCUGCCUUCACUGCCCCACGUUGCUGCCAGAAGGAAUGAGAAACCAUCACUGAGCUCAGAAACAAUCAUGGAAGGGAAAGGCAGCAAAAAAAAAAAAAAAAAAAAAAAAAAAAAAAUCAAAUGAAUCAUCUUCAUUCAAAAGGAAAGAAAGGCCAAGGAGCAAAUCCAGUGUGCAUCACCCAAUGGGCCGGUAAGCCUGUAACACUCACCAAGCAACAGUCAGAAACAACAGGUGUUUUGAAAAUAGCAGCAAUCCAGCUCCAAUAGAGGGACAACCAGCUGCACACAGGAAAGAGAUGAGAUGGGAUGUUUUCUACUCCAUAGUGAAGACAACGUCCAAAGCCUGGAAGCUGAGGCUGGGUGCAAUCUGCCUUAAAACGAGCAGCAGUUUCCAGCUUGGUGGGAGAAAAAAUGCUGAGGUUUUAAACAGGAAAGGCUUAAAAAUGAGAUCUGAAUGGCAAGAUGUUGUCUGCAUCCAGG
rnacentral:lncRNA from 1 species